rnacentral:lncRNA from 1 species
UAAUUUUAUUUCUUGAUUUAAAAUACUAUGGUUUGUUAAGACUCUCACUAAUUUGAGAGACAAAAAGAUUAUUUUUUAUUUUGUUAGAUCAUAUAAUACCUUUAACUUAUUAUUAAAAAGUGUAAUGAGGUCUCUGCUACUUUUGUGCAAGCUCUACCGUCUUCGGGCCAUGAUAAUUUAGAAUUUUACGCUAUCGUUUCAGGAAUGGCCAUUUUUUUUAGAACAAUUCCUACCGCUACGCAUGUCAUAAGUGGUGCUCUCAUUUGAUACACCCUAUAUAGAUAUAUAACUUGUCAAUCUAACCCAAGUAACUAACAAACCUGCCCAACAAAUUAUAGUAUCACAUAGCUACACUAACUGAUGAUCCACGCAAGCUCUACAUAGACAUAACAAGAUUUGUAUAUGUAUAUGAUAUGUAUUUAUGUAAAUUAUGAAGCUGAAUUACUUGCCUGCUACUUACAGAACCCAACUGUCUAUUUUUCUAGUUCAGGCCACGAACAACCUAUGAAUAUGUUUAGUGGUUGAUAUGAUUACAUUUUAGUGGUUGGUGUUGAGGUAUAGAAAGUUAUUCAUUGCGGCUAAUUUGUUACAGGGGAAAAUUUGAUUCCAUGUAGCUUGGAGUAAUAAUACAAUUGAGAAGAUCAAAUAUAUGACGGAUGAGGUCAGCAAGUUAAAACUGUUUUGUUUUAGGUCAACUUUAACCUUAGCUGCUCAUUAGUUUGAUCAAUUGUUAUGGCGUGACUUAAUGGUUUAAAAGAAGAAACCUUGUUAUGGUGUGACUUAAAGGUUUAGAAGAAGAAACCCUGUUGAUGCAUUUCACACUGUUUUGUUUCUGCUGUAGGUCUCUUUGGGUAUUUUGGAUGUUGGUUGCCUUUCAUGUUGUUUUCUGCAGGCUCGUUGUGAAUUUUUUCUGCUUGAGUUAGUUUUCUGGCUGUUUGUGCAGUUAGAAUUUUGUUUUGCAGGGUCGUCAGUUCAUGUUCGCUUCUCCAAUCAUUGUUGAGGCUAUUUUGUGCAUUUUGUGGUCCCGCUGCAGUUUCGUUUGGCAUUGGAUUUUUAGCUAACAGUAUCUUUUUGUUUUUAGAUGUUAGCAUGUUUUUGUAUUUGGAGUUGAAUUAUAUAUGUUGGAUUUGAUUUUGUAGUUUAAACUGUGUAAUUUAUCUGUUGUUUUGAUUGUUAAUCUUGAAUGAAUUAUAUGAAUGAGAUUUGGAUAUUUUUAGUUAUAUAUUUAUGUAUUUUAGGUAUUUAUUAAUUAAUUUAUUUAAAUUGUCAACAAAAAUUGCCCCAUUAAAGUAUUUUUUUUUUAAAAAUUAAACAUUUGCGACUGUUGUGAAGGGUCGCAAGUCCAUUUAAUUUAAAUUAAACCACAUACUUUGCGACAGUUCUGAAAGGUCGCAAAUAUAGUAUUGCGACUGUUGGCAACUGUCGCAUAAACUUUUGCGGCAGUUGGUGCGUCUGUUCUAUGAAGGGUCGCAAAAGACAGUUGCGACCCCAACAUUAGCGCCUGUUGGGGAAGGUCACAAAUGUACAUUUGCGACCCUUCUAACAGUCACAAUCAGCCAUUUUAAAAUUCGCAAAAUGCAG